rnacentral:rRNA from 1 species
UACAGAGGUCUCAAGCGUUGUUCGGAUUCAUUGGGCGUAAAGGGCGCGUAGGCGGCGUGGUAAGUCGGGUGUGAAAUCUCAGAGCUCAACUCUGAAACUGCACUCGAUACUGCUCUGCUUGAGGACUGGAGAGGAGACUGGAAUUCACGGUGUAGCAGUGAAAUGCGUAGAUAUCGUGAGGAAGACCAGUGGCGAAGGCGGGUGUCUGGACAGUUCCUGACGCUGAGGAGCGAAGGCCAGGGGAGCAAACGGG